GAUCAUGGCUCAGGAUGAACGCUGGCGGCGUGCUUAACACGUGCAAGUCGAACGAAGCAUUUUAAAAAUGAGACUUCGGUGGAUUUUUAAAAUGACUGAGUGGCGGACGGGUGAGUAACGCGUGGGCAACCUGCCUUACACAGGGGGACAACAGUUAGAAAUAGCUGCUAAUACCGCAUAAGCGCACAGUACCGCAUGGUACCGUGUGAAAAACUCCGGUGGUGUAAGAUGGGCCCGCGUUGGAUUAG
rnacentral:rRNA from 1 species